AUGGGUCAGGGGGAACCACAGCAGGUGGUUGGGUCAGAGAGAACCACAGCAGAACAAUGGGUCGGGGAGAACCACAACAGGAACCUGGGUUCGUGGGUCGUGGUAUACCACAGCAGGUCGCUGGGUCGGAGAGAACCACAGCAGAACAAUGGGUCGGGGAGAACCACAGCAGAACAAUGGCUCGGGAAGAACCCAGAGCAGGACGCUGGGUCAGUGGCUCGAGAAGAACCAUCGCAGAACAAUGGGUCGGGAAGAACCAGAGCAGGACGCUGGGUCAGUGGCUCGGGAAGAACCACAACAGAACAAUGGGUCAGGGGGAACCACAGCGAGUCAGUGGGUCGGAGAGAACCACAACAGAACAACGGCUCAGGGAGAACCACAGCAGAACAACGGCUUAGGGAGAACCACAGCAGAACAAUGGGUCGGAGAGAACCACAGCAGAACAAUGGGUCGGGGAGAACCACAGCAGAGCAAUGGCUCGGGAAGAACCAGAGCAGGACGCUGGGUCAGUGGCUCGGGAAGAACCACAACAGAACAAUGGGUCAGGGGGAACCACAGCAAGUCAGUGGGUCGGAGAGAACCACAACAGAACAAUGGCUCGAGAAGAACCACAGCAGAACAAUGGGUCGAGGAGAACCACAGCAGGUGGGUGGGUCUGUGGGUCGGAGAGAACCACAGCAGAACAAUGGGUCGGAGAGAACCACAACAGGUGGGUGGGUCAGUGGGUCGGGGAGAACCACAGCAGGUGGGUGGGUCUGUGGGUCGGAGAGAACCACAGCAGAACAAAGGGUCGGAGAGAACCACAACAGGUGGGUGGGUCAGUGGGUCGGGGAGAACCACGGCAGAACAAUGGGUCGGAGAGAACCACAACAGGUGGGUGGGUCAGUGGGUCGGGGAGAACCACAGCAGAACAAUGGGUCGGAGAGAACCACAACAGGUGGGUCGGUCAGUGGGUCAUGGAGAACCACAGCAGGUCGGUGGGUCGGGGAGAACCACAGCAGGUGGGUGGGUCAGUGGGUCGUAGAGAACCACAGCAGAACAAUGGGUCUAGGAGAACCCCAGCAAGUUAGUGGUUGGGAGAGAACCAUAACAGAACAAUGGCUCAGGGAGAACCACAGCAGAACAAUGGGUCGGAGAGAACCACAGCAGAACAAUGGGUCAGGGAGAACCACAACAGCACACUGGGUUGUUGGGUCGUGGAAUAUCACAGCAGGUCGGUGGGUCGGAGAGAACCACAGCAGAGCAAUGGCUCGGGAAGAACCAGAGCAGGACGCUGGGUCAGUGGCUCGGGAAGAACCACAACAGAACAAUGGGUCAGGGGGAACCACAGCAAGUCAGUGGGUCGGAGAGAACCACAACAGAACAAUGGCUCGAGAAGAACCACAGCAGAACAAUGGGUCGAGGAGAACCACAGCAGGUGGGUGGGUCUGUGGGUCGGAGAGAACCACAGCAGAACAAUGGGUCGGAGAGAACCACAACAGGUGGGUGGGUCAGUGGGUCGGGGAGAACCACAGCAGGACACUGGGUUGGUGGGUCGUAGGAAACCACAGCAGGUUGGUGGGUCUAAGAGAACCACAGCAGGUGAGUGGGUUGGUGGGUCGGGGAGAACCACAGCAGCUGCUCUUCAACAAAUCGCUGCUUGUUAGUGCAGCUUCAUCAUCUUCUGGAGAAAAUAACACUUUUGGAUCCUCCUCCAGCUUUAAUGAGGCAGAAGCACUUAUUUAA
ensembl:lncRNA